GAAAUUAAUUAAAUAGCCGCAGUAAAUUAACUGUGCUAAGGUAGCAUAAUAAUUAGUUUUUUAAUUAAAAACUAGAAUGAAAGAGAAAAUGAAAAAUUAACUUUUUAAUUAUAAUAAAUAAAUAUAAAUUAAUUUAUAAGUUAAAAAUCUUAUAUAAAAUAAAAAGACAAGAAGACCCUUUAGAAUUUUAUAAAUAAAAAAAUUUAAUAAUUAUAAAUUUGAAUAUUUAUUAAGUUGGGGAGACUAUGAAAUAUUAAAAACUUUCACUUUUUUAAAACAAAAAUAAAUGAAUCUAUAAAUAUCCAGUUAACAGCCGAAUAAAAAACAAAUUACCUAAGGGAUAACAGCGUAAAAUUUCUAAAAAGAUCAAAUUUACAGAAUAAAUUACGACCUCGAUGUUGGAUUAAGAAAAAAUUAUAAAGAAGAAUUUAUAAAAAUUAGGUCUGUUCGACCUUUAAUCUCUU
rnacentral:rRNA from 1 species